UACGAAGGGGGCUAGCGUUGUUCGGAAUCACUGGGCGUAAAGCGCACGUAGGCGGAUUUUUAAGUCAGGGGUGAAAUCCCGAGGCUCAACCUCGGAACUGCCUUUGAUACUGGAGAUCUUGAGUCCGGAAGAGGUAAGUGGAACUGCGAGUGUAGAGGUGAAAUUCGUAGAUAUUCGCAAGAACACCAGUGGCGAAGGCGGCUUACUGGUCCGGAACUGGACGCUGAGGUGCGAAAGCGUGGGGAGCAAACAGGG
rnacentral:rRNA from 1 species